rnacentral:lncRNA from 7 species
CAUUUAUUGAACAGGAUAGACUUUCUGAAGCUGAAGACUUUAAUUUGCUGCCGAUCAGAAAAGAGAGGAGCUGGCCAUCACAAUCUCACUGAUGGAUAUACCUGAUGGACAAUUUGGCUUUCCCAGCUGUCUCCUGAAGAGCAGAAUUAUGGAGCCCAGAAGACUAAAAUCCAGAAUGUAGACAUACAUAGUGGAUGAAAAUGUCCUUCUCUGGCUCCUAUGCAGAACCCCUCUCUGAGCUUCAGGAUUGUCAACAGACCACCUGGAGGGAUAAGUCUUAGCCAAGAACAUGGAAGCUUUGAGAGGCAUGAUCUCCCCGUCCUUCUUGGCUUCUUGCAGCUCACUUGGUAAUGCGCCAGGCUUUUUGAUUCUGGGGCUGCUCAGAGCAAUUAGAGUUCCAGGGCUCCCCAGGUCUAUGGCAGCCCAGCUGGAUUAUAAAGCUUUUGGCUACUAUAAGUGGGAACUGAAAAAGAAAAAAAAACUCAGUAUUUUUAUUGGACUUAGAAUACCAUUUCCCUGGUGUGUCAAGUACCUUUUUUUGUUGUUGUUGUUUUGUUUUUUGUUUUUGUUUAACAGGUAUAGUUGAACUGUUGCAAAACCAACGAUUUCAGGUUAUGGCAGCAUAUAGUUCAACUUCUCAUGUCAAGUCCCUUUUGGUUGACUAUUCUUAAAUAGGACAAGAAAUUUAAGAGAACAAAUUUAAUGCUGGCAAGUGAAUUAAAAAAAUCAGAACUAAAAAGUCAUGCUCCGUCAUGUUUUAAAAACCCAGAGUUAUGGAAAAAAUCACUUUUUUCUUCUCCAUUUCAAGGUCCUCAUCCUGUGAGAGAGCUGUCUGCACCUAUUAUUACUGCUGCUGAACCGUCUUGAGAGAAAGGCCCAAAUCAAAACCACAGCAUAAGCAAUUAAGAGCAUCAUAAAAACUUUUUUCUAUUCCAACAGACUCUGCAUUUUAGAAAGACAAAGCUGAUUAGCAUCAUGGCUUACUCUCAUUUAUUUUUCAGAAUAUAAGAAGCUUGAUUUUCCUUUUAUUUAUUUGUUUGUUUAUUUAUGAACUCCUAAAGAUCUCUGACUAUUUGCUGGUGAAAUCUUGUCCCUAUUAAAGUAAAAAUAAGUAAAUAAAAUCAUUAGGACUUCACUACAUCCAGGCUCUCCUUGUCUGCAGUAGGAGUUUGUGGCUUUUAUGACAGAAUAGUUGAAUAGUUUCCAGCUUAUGAUUUUGUCAUGUUUUUUUCUUUCAAAAAAGUGACAUGGUUCAGAUCUAAUUGGAAAAAUAAAGCUUGUCAGCAGAACCAUCUUUGUGAUACAUCAAUUCAAUGAUCUCCCUAUGGUUCUUUCCUAUUUUUUAAUAUUCUCAUAUAUGUAAUGUACUAAGUGAUUAAAUUCAGCAUUUAAUACAGAUCCAUAAUAUAUGAUUGACCAGAUGGAUCCAGUCCUGCCAGCUCCUUUUAACUUUUCUCUCUUAGUUGGGGUCAGAUUCAUAUUUUCAGGAACUAUAUGUUAUUUGAGAGGAAAUUGGGUGAUGGGGAAGCAUAGGGGAGGAAGCUGCUUUCAAACACCGAUACAGGAAAAAGACAAAUGCCAGAAUGUGCAGCUGUGAUUUUUUUAAACAUUUUAGUUUAUGUCAACGGAGUGGCAGCACAGGAAAGAUGAAUAGUUCAUACACUUAGUAGAAAUAAAAUUGAGUAUCCUGAAUCAUGAAGUUUAAGGAUGCCACUGUAUAUUUAUUUAUUUAUUCAGUGGAAUAACUGGAUUAGAUUUUGACAUGUAUAAAGUAGUUGCUUUGUGACAGUUAGCUGUUAGAUUAUAUGACACUGGAAUUUUCCAUUUUUGCUUCCAUGGCUUCCACUUCUGUCAGCACUUGGAUAAUGCUUGGAAAUUCCUUUUCCAAUCCAGACUUACCUUCCCUGUGAUUUUUACACAGAAGAACAUGUUCAUUCUCCAGCUACAGUGCACAGUGCACUACUGACAAGAGGUGGAGAUAGGAAAGAGGUGGCCUACUGUCUGCUUGGCACGUUGAGUACUGGAUAGAUCUCUUAUACUCAUGUCUCAAGGACACCAGAUCUGGGAAAGGUGAGCCAUACAAUGGUGCACUGUAUUAACAGAUUAUCAAGAGCUGCAUCUUUCGACACACAAUCUGGAUGCUCUGACACCCCAGUCCAGUGGGAUGUCAUCUAGACAAGUAUUUGGAAAUGGAUGGAUUCCAGAUCUUAGAAUAGCUAUCCUUAAGGUUAGGAUAUUUAGCAAUGAGAGGAAGUGUUUGAGUCCCAUUCCAGUGGGAUACUAGAUGUGACAAGUAUCUACUUUAUAUGCAAAAUAAGUUACUUCAUUUUUAUUUAAAUAAAUGAACCAACUCUGUAUGCUCUGUUUCAGACCAAGGCUGGCCUUAACAUCUAUAGAAAACUGCACAGAAG